rnacentral:tRNA from 1 species
GGAAGAGUGGGUGAGAGGCUGAAACCAGUCGUUUGCUAAAUGACCAAUGGAGGAAACUUCAUUCAAGGGUUCGAAUCCCUUCUCUUCCGCCA